rnacentral:tRNA from 1 species
UUAAUAGAAGCCAAAACAGAGGCAAUUUAUUGUUAAUAAAUCAAAUGAUUAAUUAAUAAUCCUAUUAAA